ensembl:scaRNA
GGGUACUAGCAGGGGAGCGGAUGGAGAGUGAGUGUGUAGGGGAUGAGUGUGCACCGGAGGCUGCGUGGGGCGUGUGCGGGGGCGUGUGCAGGGGGCGGGGGUGUGUGUUUGCGCGCGCGUGGCCCUGCUGAGAUUCUGUCUACACGCUGAUCUUAUUCGAUCGGGCCGGGGGCGGCCGCCCGGCCCGAGAUGAGAAGACGCCUCCCGCGAAGCCCGCGGGCGCUGUGCGGAGAGCAGAGCUUGUUGGCCGCAGCCGGCCCGCCCGGCGCUCAGAGGUGAUGAGUCGAUCAGAUAGACGAGGCCGCGGGGCGGGUCCACGCUGGCCCGAGCCCCCGGCCCAUGAGUAUCGUGGCGAUUCUGAUCUGA